AAUAGCAUACUGUGGCAUACUAAAAUUGGAACAAUACAGAGAAGAUUAGCAUGGCUCUUGCGCAAGGAUGACAUGCAAAUUCGUGAAAUGUUCCAUAUUAAA